GAAGUGGAACAAUAGUUAAGCCUUCCUUAAAAAACCCAUCACCUCUCCCAUCAUUUCAUUAGAUUUGUCACACAUAUCUUUGUUUAUGCACUGCAGUUAUGACAGCUCCGGAUGACAGACAUCUCAGUUUAGACAAUCCUGUUAUGUGGAGCCAACCCCGUGUCUCAGCAGAGCCUCCAGCGGCCUUGCUUCUGAAUCAGAUUCAGCGAUGUGGAACUCAGUUGGAUCCCCACUGAGCCAAGAGAGAAGAUUUAAGCUCAUAUACACUUUCAGCUAGGUGGAAACACACAUGUUUGCUCAGCUAUUCUUUUCAGGACAUCACGCUGACUUCCAUUGAUUUUGUUUCCACCACCCUAUCCUUUAACCUUAACUAUGUCUGGAUAAAGUCUAACUUUAACAUAACCCUCAUUCACACCUCGGCUCUAAACCAGCCUGGGACACAUGCAGAUAUCCCCAUAAAACCUUUUAUAUUCCCAAAAGGUGGGAAAUUUGAUCAUAAAAAUGUCUGUAAGUUAAUACAUAGAAUCCCAGACACACCCAUAAGUGCACACGCAAAGUGUUUCAUAUUUGUAAGAACCCACCAGGGAAAUAUAUAGAUAUAUAUCUAUAUAUUUCCUCUUUGCUUAUCCUCACUUUCCAUUAAUAAAGGAUAAAAAUGUAUAAAUUAUCAUCAUUCAACAGAGGCUAUAAGGUCCCCUUUGGAAGAGACGGCAUCGAUAUGAUCAUGAAUGAAUAUAUCAACCCCUGAGCCGUGGACCAGUACCGGUCCAUAGGUCACUUGGUAGCGGGCUGCAGACAAAAAAAUAAAUAAAUAAAUAAAA